rnacentral:rRNA from 1 species
GGAGGAAGCAGGGGAUCGCAAGACCUUGCGCUAAAAGAGCGGCCGAUGUCUGAUUAGCUAGUUGGUGAGGUAAAGGCUCACCAAGGCAACGAUCAGUAGUUGGUCUGAGAGGACGGCCAACCACACUGGGACUGAGACACGGCCCAGACUCCUACGGGAGGCAGCAGUGGGGAAUUUUGGACAAUGGGCGAAAGCCUGAUCCAGCCAUGCCGCGUGAGUGAAGAAGGCCUUCGGGUUGUAAAGCUCUUUUAGUCGGAAAGAAAGAGUUGCAAUGAAUAAUUGUGAUUUAUGACGGUACCGACAGAAAAAGCACCGGCUAACUACGUGCCAGCAGCCGCGGUAAUACGUAGGGUGCGAGCGUUAAUCGGAAUUACUGGGCGUAAAGGGUGCGCAGGCGGUCUUGCAAGUCAGAUGUGAAAGCCCCGGGCUUAACCUGGGAAUUGCGUUUGAAACUACAAAGCUAG